rnacentral:rRNA from 1 species
CAAAGCUUAAAACCCAAAGGACUUGACGGUACCCCACAUCCACCUAGAGGAGCCUGUCCUAUAAUCGAUAACCCCCGUUAAACCUCACCAUUUUUAGCCUAUCAGCCUGUAUACCUCCGUCGUCAGCUUACCACGUGAGCGACUUCCAGUGAGCUUAAUGCCCAUACGCCAACACGUCAGGUCAAGGUGCAGCAGAUAAAAUGGGAAGAGAUGGGCUACACUCUCUAUUCUAGAAAAUACAGAAGACUAUUUAUGAAACCUAGUCAGAAGGCGGAUUUAGUAGUAAAAAGAGAUAAGAGCACUCUUUUUAACAUGGCACUGGGGUGUGUACACACCGCCCGUCACCCUCUUCAAAGCUAACAUGAAGUCUCUAACACACUUAAGCAUUACAGAAGAGGCAAGUCGUAACAUGGUAAGUAUACCGGAAGGUGUGCUUGGAAA